CUUUUACUGUUUUUUUGGUUUUGUGGGGAGGGGUACAUGGAAAGUUAUUUCUAUGAAUUGAAAUUCGACCUUUACACAAGUCCUCAACCAACCCAUUUUACAUGUAUUAUUAAUUAUUUAUGUGAGUAAUAUAACUUAGGCAUCAUUUUGAAAGGAUGGAAAUUUACAGAAACCAUGUCUCAAUGUGUAAUAUAUCUAUAAUAAAGUCACAUGAUUGAUUUUAAUUUUUUUUUUGUUCCA
rnacentral:lncRNA from 1 species